rnacentral:rRNA from 1 species
UGCCAGCAGCCGCGGUAAUACGGAGGGGGCGAGCGUUAUUCGGAUUUACUGGGCGUAAAGAGACCGUAGGUGGUUUAUUAAGUCAGAUGUGAAAGCCCAGGGCUCAACCCUGGAACUGCAUUUGAAACUGGUAAACUAGAGUAUUGGAGAGGAUAGUGGAAUUACCAGUGUAGAGGUGAAAUUCGUAGAUAUUGGUAGGAACACCGGUGGCGAAGGCGACUGUCUGGACAAUUACUGACAGUGAGGAUCGAAAGCGUGCGGAGCAAACAGGAUUAGAUA